UACGUAGGGGGCUAGCGUUGUCCGGAAUCAUUGGGCGUAAAGCGCGUGUAGGCGGUUUGGUAAGUCCGCUGUGAAAGUCGGGGGCUCAACCCUCGAAUGCCGGUGGAUACUGUCGAACUAGAGUGCGGAAGAGGCGAGUGGAAUUCCUGGUGUAGCGGUGAAAUGCGCAGAUAUCAGGAGGAACACCAAUUGCGAAGGCAGCUCGCUGGGACGUUACUGACGCUGAGACGCGAAAGCGUGGGGAGCAAACAGG
rnacentral:rRNA from 1 species